rnacentral:rRNA from 1 species
GUGGGGAAUAUUGGACAAUGGGGGCAACCCUGAUCCAGCCAUGCCGCGUGAGUGAAGAAGGCCUUCGGGUUGUAAAGCUCUUUCGACGGGGACGAUGAUGACGGUACCCGUAUAAGAAGCCCCGGCAAACUUCGUGCCAGCAGCCGCGGUAAUACGAAGGGGGCUAGCGUUGUUCGGAAUUACUGGGCGUAAAGCGCGCGUAGGCGGUGAUCUUUGUCAGAGGUGAAAGCCUGGGGCUCAACCCCAGAAUUGCCUUUGAAACGGGAUCGCUAGAGUCCGAGAGAGGAUGGCGGAAUUCCUAGUGUAGAGGUGAAAUUCGUAGAUAUUAGGAAGAACACCGGUGGCGAAGGCGGCCAUCUGGCUCGGUACUGACGCUCAGGCGCGAAAGCGUGGGGAGCAAACAGGAUUAGAUACCCCAGUAGUCC